CUGGGUAAUAAGUUAUUUGAGUUUCAUUAGAUGUUCUACUUUACAGGUUAAAUUUUAUACCUAAGAAACUACAGGAACGUCCUUCUUUCUCAUUUGCUAAUAAUAUUUGUGUAUAUGAUGCCAAAUGUCUACCUGCUGAAAGCAACAUGGGGCAAUAUGGUGAGUGGAAUUAUGUGAUGCAUGUAGAAAAUAGAAUACGAGCAGACAACAGGUUAUUUGCAUGUAAAAUAAAUCCUAUAAAACUAUUAUUUCUAGGAUUUUAGCACCCUGCCGUACAGAAGCAACAUUCCGUGUAUUUUUUGCUUCCCUUGCUCUAAACAUCGUUACUCCCUUCAAGGCCGAAGCGCGGUCCAUUAAGACCAUGUUUUCCUUUGUUUUAAUAUUUUGUUGUUACUAUUAUUACUAUGUCAUAUGAUCUUUGACAGCAUUUCCCUGUGGACUCACGUAUUCACCAUAUGACAUCAUGUAUUGUUUUCCUUUGCUUAUUUAUAACAUAUGCUUGUCUUUAUUAUUUUCAUGUGUUCGGCCAUCUUAUAGUUUUCCUUUGCUUAUUUAUAAUGUAUGCUUGUUGUAUGUGCUUUCGCUCGCAAUUUAUUAGAGCAUAUGCUUGUUUCUGUAGCGUUUUAUCCAUGUCUAAUUAAAUCUUGAUCCUGUAGUACUUGCUGUUUGAGAAAUAGACAUUGAGGAUCACUUUUACAUAUAUUUUAUAAACCCUGUUGGGAUGCUUUCAGGAGAUACUGAACAUAAUUCCUGACCCGUGACAACAGUUUUUUUGCCUUAACUCCAUCUCAGAGAUCUACCUUCUAUCAACAGGUAUCUAUCAAUCCCUUCUACUUGCAAGACAGAAAUAAUAUAUGUAGUUCAAAUGGUGAAAUCCAUAUAAGUUUUAAGAUUAUGUCCUGUUAAUUGUUCCAUUUGCUAAAGAGAGGAUAACUUAAAACUACUAUGGAGCUGAUGUAAAUUUAGUUGGCCACAAUGGAUCAUAAGUUUAUUCCUUACUACAUAUAUAGGCCAGUUAAUCUUAAUUUAGUGCAAGCUAAUAUACUCUAUAGAUUGGAGUGCUGAUGAGUCACCCAAAAGGUGUUUGCAUUCAUGCAGUAACUUUCAAACUGAUACCUACAUUAUAUUGUAUCUUUUUAUUUUKGAAUGUGUGCACAUGAAUUUUAGAUGGAAAUUUAUCGUCAUGGGCUGGGAAGAUAAUGGAGACUUCUACACAUGUUCCUUCGUUCCUCCAGAGAAAUAAAGAAGAUAUGGAAGCUGGGGCUUCAAUUGUAUCACCCACACUUAGUAUACUCACAUGGAUAUAGUUAUAAGUCAAAUCACAUACACAUAUUGUGCUCAUUUCACAAUGUAAUGUAGGACUAGUUAACUGUUAGUCAUUGUAACAUGUUUGACUGAGAUAAAGCUUCAUUGCACCUUUCAUUCUCCUUAUGUGCUCAUUUUAGUAAUAGUUACUAGGUUCUAGGGCUAGAGUUGUAACUAGAUGAAGCUUCAUUGUAACUAGAUUUGUAGUGGAGUUGAAGGCCGAACUAUUUUAUGUGGUGCAUGUUUGUAAAGUUUCUACAAUGAUGCUUAUUGCUUAAAUGACCGGGACUAUUUAACAUAAUGUUUUUUCGUCGGAAUUAUCUACGAUGCCUAGUGUAUGAAAACUGUGCAAAAAUAAGGCCUAGUCCUAGAUAAAAAUAGUAAUGGGCUGAAAUAUUAAAUAUUGAUCUGAAUUCUUGGGCCUGGCCCAUUUAGGUGUCUGAUUUGGAUUGGGCUAGUAAAAUUGUGACCUUAUUUUUCAGUCAGUGGUGAUCCGCCACAUCAUCAGCUUAGCCACAUGGCUGAUGCCAUGUUAGCUCCUACGUGGUUCAGGUACACAUGUA
rnacentral:lncRNA from 1 species